rnacentral:rRNA from 1 species
GACGAACGCUGGCGGCGUGCUUAACACAUGCAAGUCGAACGGAAAGGCCCUGCGUUUGUGGGGUGCUCGAGUGGCGAACGGGUGAGUAACACGUGAGUAACCUGCCCUUGACUGUGGGAUAACUUCAGGAAACAGGGGAUAAUACCGGAUAGGAGCUCCUGCUGCAUGGUGGGGGUUGGAAAGUUUCGGCGGUUCGGGAUGGAUUCGCGGCUUAUCAGCUUGUUGGUGGGGUAGUGGCUUACCAAGGCUUUGACGGGUAGGCGGCCUGAGAGGGUGACCGGCCACAUGGGGACUGAGAGACGGCCCAGACGCCAACGGGCGGCAGCAGUGGGGAAUAUUGCGCAAUGGGCGGAAGCCUGAUGCAGCGACGCCGCGUGCGUGAUGCCGGCCUUCGGGUUGUAAACCGCUUUCGCCUGUGACGAAGCGUGAGUGACGGUAAUGAGUCAGGAAGCACCGGCUAACUACGUG